GAUGAACGCUGGCGGCGUGCCUAACACAUGCAAGUCGAGCGAAGCGCUUAAAUUAGAUUUCUUCGGAAGGACGAUUCUUGUGACUGAGCGACGGACGGGUGAGCAACGCGUGGGUAACCUGCCUCAUACAGGGGGAUAACAGUAAGACAUGACUGCUAAUACCGCAUAAGACCCCAGCUUCGCAUGCAGCGGUGGUAAAAACUCCAGUGGUAUGAGAUGGACCCGCGUCUGAUGAGCUAGUUGGUAAGGUCACCGCCUACCAAGGCGACGAUCAGUAGCCGGCCUCAGAGGGUGACCCGCCACACUGGGACUGGGACGCGGCCCGGACUCCUACGGGAUGCAGCAAUGCGUAAUAUUGCACAAUGGGGGGAACCAUGAUGCAGUGCCGCCGCGAGAACUAUGAAGUAAUUCGGGAUGUAAACUUCUAUUAGCAGUGAACAAAGUGACGGUACCUGACUAAGAAGCCCCGGCUAACUACGUG
rnacentral:rRNA from 1 species